rnacentral:rRNA from 1 species
CCUACGGGUGGCAGCAGUGGGGAAUAUUGGGCAAUGGGCGCAAGCCUGACCCAGCAACGCCGCGUGAAGGAAGAAGGCUUUCGGGUUGUAAACUUCUUUUCUGAGGGACGAAGAGAGUGACGGUACCUCAGGAAUAAGCAACGGCUAACUACGUGCCAGCAGCCGCGGUAAUACGUAGGUGGCAAGCGUUAUCCGGAUUUAUUGGGUGUAAAGGGCGUGUAGGCGGGAAAGCAAGUCAGAUGUGAAAACUCAGGGCUCAACCCUGAGCCUGCAGUUGAAACUGUUUUUCUUGAGUGCUGGAGAGGUAAUCGGAAUUCCGUGUGUAGCGGUGAAAUGCGUAGAUAUACGGAAGAACACCAGUGGCGAAGGCGGAUUGCUGGACAGUAACUGACGGUGAGGCGCGAAAGCGUGGGGAGCAAACAGGAUUAGAUACCCGAGUAGUC